UUUGACUCGAGUCAGAUCAUUUGACUCAGCUCAUCAAUAAGAGUCGACUCUUUCGGCUCCUGAGCGACUCACUGCCAUUUUGUUGUGACCCCACGUUCACACAAGAAAGUGACGGAACGGUGGAGAUCUGCGUCAGUCCAUCGCUGAACACGUGGACUGGCUGAAUCAGCUAACGGAGCGCGUGGAAACACUCCAGAUGAAUACGUCCGUCUUCGUCCAGACGAACUCCAGGCCUCGAGUCUUCAGAGGGAAACAGCAGAGCUUCCGAAAUCCCACCCACUUCGGGCGUGGCCACCUGGUCGACGACGCUCAGUCGGAAUUCGGUUGGUCUCCGAUACGUACGAGGCGUAACAGCGACGCCGCGUCCGAGAUGUCGUGCGCCUGGUGAGCGUAAAACCCGCUGUUCCGUUUCUCAUGACGUGUCGUCACUUCUUAUAUUUAUACACCCGCUCUAUACGUCUGGGGUUUUUUCUUUAAAGUGAACAAAUGUACUACUGUGUUGUUGUUUUUUGUAUAUGUUUUGUAAUACGCAAAUAAAGAAACACUUUCCUGUCAUUCAUAAUUCUACUUCGAGUCAUUUCAAG
ensembl:lncRNA